GUUCCAUCUUUAUAGCCAAAUCUGACUAACUGUAGACUUUACAGUUUGACUGUUGGUUGAUCUUUAAAGAUUAAUCA